AGAUGUGAACUUCAGCAGAGCAGUGCCAUAAAGCCUGCAAUAGUGCUUAUUCAGUAGUGCAGCUGUCUGAAGAACUCAGAUAAUACCACCAAAAUUCCCAGCCCCAGAGCACUCCAUCACCUACGGGACCCUGGCCCAUGCACUGCGUGGGGACACCACCACAUGCCAGCAUCGUGAAUUUAUACCUGUCCAAGAGACGCUUUCUACGAAGCAUUUUCCAGCAUGGUCUAAUUACAAGGCGAUGCUUCAGCCCACGCAGGGCACCUCCACCCACCUUGUUUCAGCAUGGGAUAAAACAGCGUGCACAGUUCGGACCUGUGCGUGUCCUCAAACACAUUUCUGAAGGGGCAGCAGGGCCGGCAGGGUGAUGGUCUGGCCAGUUCCAGCACCCGCUGCCCUCCCCACGAUGGGCGCAUCGCACCGCUCCUGCCUGCGGCUCCCCGGGAUGCCUGGUCCCAGGCUGGGAUGUGGUUGCGCAAGGACAUUAUUAUGCCAAGCACUGAAUAAACACAGAACAAAAAGUUGGCUCCUCUGACUGUAAAUAAUAAAUGAUCCUCUUUGAUCACCCGUGUUGGCUGAGGGCUCCCCAGCCUCACAAAGCUGGGACUUGGAACGAGCAGCGCUCAGCGAAAGGUUGCCCUUUUCCUCCAGGCGCCCGAAACGCCAGAGCCGAGCAGGGGCUGCAGCAGGACUGGCCAGGCCACCAACACCUCGAAGCCUCCUAGGCGUGGUGUUUUGCUCUAAGGCCGGUCCUUUGCUUUUGGCUCUUCCUUCUCUGCCAAGCCCAGUGCAAAGUCGCUGCCUGCUUGCUCUGCCCUGCCCCUCUACACCUCGCCGCAGCUACUGCUCGUGAGAUAAAUCCCUUUAAUGUGGUGGUUGUUUGUUUUUGAAAUUCUUCUGUAUUUUUUCCUGCCAUCCCGCUGCAGAGCAGCGUACACAACAAAGUAAACCAACCUUGCACAAAUUGUCCUGAUUCCUGCCUUGCGAGUGGAGACAGCUGUGACUGAUUCCAGCAAAAUACCUCGCGUCUGGUCUACAAAGCCCGAGCUAAUCUCCACGCCGAACCAAAGCGGGUCCUUCCUCAUCACAUGCUUGCGCUGCCAGAGCAGGGAAUGUGGAUAAUACUUUGGAGCCACUACAAACGCUUCGGAAAAGACUCUGCCAUGGUAGCAAACAGCUGGUGCAGCUAAUCCAUUUUCCAAGCACAUUUGCAAGAUACAUAAUUAAGAGUUCUGUUGAGGGGGGAAGCAAAG